ACAGCAGUAGCCACGGGAAUACGUAGGUGGCAAGCGUUGUCCGGAAUUAUUGGGCGUAAAGUGCUCGCAGGCGGUUUCUUAAGUCUGAUGUGAAAGCCCCCGGCUCAACCGGGGAGGGUCAUUGGAAACUGGGAAACUUGAGUGCAGAAGAGGAGAGUGGAAUUCCACGUGUAGCGGUGAAAUGCGUAGAGAUGUGGAGGAACACCAGUGGCGAAGGCGACUCUCUGGUCUGUAACUGACGCUGAGGAGCGAAAGCGUGGGGAGCGAACAGGAUUAGAUACCCCGGUAGUCCCUGUCUCUUAUAC
rnacentral:rRNA from 1 species